rnacentral:misc_RNA from 1 species
CCUUCUCAAACAUUCUGUUUGGUAGUGAGUGAUACUCUUUGGAGUUAACUUGAAAUUGCUGGCCUUUUCAUUGGAUGUUUUUUUUUUUUCCAAAGAGAGGUUUCUCUGCGUGCUUGAGGUAUAAUGCAAGUACGGUCGUUUUAGGUUUUACCAACUGCGGCUAAUCUUUUUUAUACUGAGCGUAUUGGAACGUUAUCGAUAAGAAGAGAGCGUCUAGGCGAACAAUGUUCUUAAA